CAGCAGCCGCGGUAACACAGAGGGUGCGAGCGUUAAUCGGAUUUACUGGGCGUAAAGCGUGCGUAGGCGGCUUCUUAAGUCGGAUGUGAAAUCCCUGAGCUUAACUUAGGAAUUGCAUUCGAUACUGGGAAGCUAGAGUAUGGGAGAGGAUGGUAGAAUUCCUGGUGUAGCGGUGAAAUGCGUAGAGAUCUGGAGGAAUACCGAUGGCGAAGGCAGCCAUCUGGCCUAAUACUGACGCUGAGGUACGAAAGCAUGGGGAGCAAACAGGAUUAGAUACCCCGGUAGUCCCUGUCUCUUAUAC
rnacentral:rRNA from 1 species